rnacentral:rRNA from 1 species
UGGGGAAUUUUGGACAAUGGGCGCAAGCCUGAUCCAGCCAUGCCGCGUGCAGGAUGAAGGCCUUCGGGUUGUAAACUGCUUUUGUACGGAACGAAAAGGUGCCUUCUAAUAAAGGGCGCUCAUGACGGUACCGUAAGAAUAAGCACCGGCUAACUACGUGCCAGCAGCCGCGGUAAUACGUAGGGUGCGAGCGUUAAUCGGAAUUACUGGGCGUAAAGCGUGCGCAGGCGGUUUUGUAAGACAGAGGUGAAAUCCCCGGGCUCAACCUGGGAACUGCCUUUGUGACUGCAAAGCUGGAGUGCGGCAGAGGGGGAUGGAAUUCCGCGUGUAGCAGUGAAAUGCGUAGAUAUGCGGAGGAACACCGAUGGCGAAGGCAGUCCCCUGGGCCUGCACUGACGCUCAUGCACGAAAGCGUGGGGAGCAAACA